GUGUGUGUGUGUGUGUGUGUGUGUGUGUGUGUGACUCUCUGGUGAUUAUCCUCGGGAGAGCCAGGCCUCAGGGAAAGGCCCCAGCAGUCCCAGUCCCAGCCCCAGCCUUUGCAGCAGCAGCAGCCACCACCGGCAGGGCGAGAGGCCCCUCCAUUGUUCUGCCCAGAUUCAAUAACUGACCACAAUAUGCUCGGGCUAGCCGCCACCUGCAGACAGGGCGGUAAUUGUGAACGGGGCAGUUAGGGCCUCGGUGUAAUCAGGCAUAUGCCUACCAGGGCUGAUGGUGGGGUUUUGCAAAGAAGGCACAGAGGGGGGAAGAGAGGAAGAGAAGAGAAAGCUGGGUGGAAACAGGCUUCUUCAGCUGGCUGGUGCACAUGUGUGUGUUUGUAUGUGAGUGUGUGUGUGUGUGUUUGUGGGUGUGUGUGUGUGUGUGUGUGUGUGUUUUAAGGAAGGGAAGCGACGCAGUUGCCUGGUGAUCAUGUUGUAGCAAGACUCUUGGUGCACCUGUUCAGAGUCUUGUCUCAGUGGACAGGAGGUGGGGGUUUUUCUUCUUGACGUGGCUAGCAAGUGGAACCUGCCGCCUGCCUGGUUUGUAGCCCGUCACUGUCGACACAACCCACAGGACCACGCAGGAAUUAGACGCAGAAGUCGACUUAAUUUCCAAUUAAUGGUUUGGCGGCGUUCCUGCCCACUGGUCGGCACAGGUUCCAAGAAGAAGAAGAAGAAGAACAAGAAGAAGAAGGAAAGGGAGAAGAAAAGAAGAAAGGAUACAGAAGAAAAAAGAAAAAAAAAACUGUUUCGGUCCCAUACUGAUUGUCACCCGUCACAUUAACACUGAAUAGGUCAUUGGUACCCAACUAAGUGGAACUAAUUUGGGACAGAAUGGCACUGGGAUUGAGUGCAGUGUCACAUGAAACCCUUGUCGUGUAAUGAGGAAUGCUUGAUUGCUGCUAAGUAGAGGAGAAUAUGGCUUGCCCUGCCAAUCCGACCGCAGCCGUGGCAUAUGAUGGCUGUUAUGCGGUUUUUGAGGGCGGUCUUUCAUGUGUGGAAUUAGUAGAGUGAUAGGUCAAUGUGAGGCGUGGUGUAAGCCAGGCUGGGAAAUGGGCUGCACUCUUGUCUUCUUGAAGUGCUUGUGAACAGAACUGUUUUACUUUCAAACAGAAUUUUUUUUUGCUAAUAUGAAAAUACACACCCACACCCAUACCCUCUCUUUCCCAUGCACACAUACACACACACACACACACACACACACACACACACACACACACACA